AUCAGAUAAGCAACCCGGGCUGUUGAGAGGACGAUGUUAACUGACCCCCAAGGCAGGACCAGGUGCUGAAGUCCUGCUCUUUCAAAGAUGAUGAACCAGAGAAUACUGUGUCACUGCUUGUUCCAUUCCUGUGCUGGUACUGGCAAGUGGGAAAGCUGGGAUUCAAAUCCAAGUCUGUGUCUCCAAAAGUCCAUGUUGAAGCUGUUCUUGUUGCUGAAUUUAAUGAACCUCUAACACAUGAUCCAAUGGAGAAAGUGAUCCAAUGGAAAGGAUCCAAUGGAGAAAGUGUCACUGAGCUGGGCCGCAGAGCUGGUUAUCAAGGGUAGUCUACGAAGUCAGAGGGAACUUCACAAUGUUGGACACUGAGCUUCCAUGCACCUGGUCUAAAACGAGGAAGAGCAUAAGUAACAUAUGUGCUAAGUGGCCAGGAAUGAGGAAAGGGCUGCAUCCAUCCUGUCUGCCUCCCGUCCAAUGCAGAGGAAAGCCUGCACCCCUCCUUGGUCUGUCUCAAUCUGCAUUUUGCCAGUAAGACUUGCUGGGCCUCCACUCGGGUUAAGGUCGAUGAAUAAAACCAGAGAACUUAAAAAGAGGAAACAUCAACACUGAAGAGGUCAUGGGGAAGAGGAAGGAAAGUACGGCACCUGCUAUCAAUUUGACUUGCAUGUAACCAGAAUUCUCAGAACUUGUUGGUUGCUCCUGCUGGCUCCUGUCCAUGUAUGCCAAGAGGACAUGAUGGCAAGCGGAUUAGAACCAGAGAUGAUGAUCCUUCCAUCCCCCUCUGGGCAUCCUCCUCAGCUUCAAGAGCUACAGAUGCAAGAGCAUGAUGGGCAUCCUCCUCAGCUUCAAGAGCUACAGAUGCAAAAGCAUGAAUGAAGUCCUGCCUGUGUUGCCUGACUUUGUCACUGAGACCAGAAGGAGACCCCAUGCGGAAUCAACUAGCAAACACAAACAGCUGCCUGGUGCUGCAGGGCAAACAGACUUGAUGAUGAAAUUCUCAAAAUUCAUCAUUGCCUAAUUUUUUUUUUUUUUAGAAAUAUGCACCAUUUUGUUAGCCAAAGUGCAGAUUUUCGUAGAGAAAACAGGAAAAUUAUUGAUAUGGGUACACUCACAACGUGCUAAAUACAAACUAAACAGAUAACCCAUAAGGCAGAAAAUAUAACCCCUCCCCGACUCCAUUUCUGCCUUUGUCCCUUUCCAUCUGCAUGGCUGUCCCCCACCCUGGCAAGUGCUCUGCCUCUCCCAAGAGCAUUUUUGGGGGUCCAGCCAGGUAGCACCACCUUCCUUAUCCCUUAGUCCUUCCUGCUGCUCAGAGAGGAAUUUUCUGGAGCUGGGCUCUAAUCAGUGCACAGAGGUGGGAUGGAGAUGAGUUUUUUUAAAAUAUAAUUUAUCACGCAUUUGCACCCAUUGUUCUCCCAACCAGAUUGCAAACCACUAGGAUACAGGGUCAUGUCUAGUUUCUCUUGCCUGCCCUCCCCUCCCCAGCUCCCAAAUUAGACAUGGCAGAGUAUCUUUACUACACUGGGCUGGCAAUUCAUGUUUUACACUGAAUAAGUAGAUAAGGCAGAAUUGUCUAUUUUUAUGUUGUUUUUUGGCAGGUCCCUGCCAGACUUCAUAGGCAUAAACUAUGGGAUACAUCUCGUGUGCAUCCAAGUGAGAGAGAGGACAGUAAAACACAGUUACCUACACAGACAGGGAAAAUCACACUCACACAUACACACCGACAGAAUUUCAUUUAAUCAAGUGCACAUUGGAAGUAGAAAGCAUGAAGCUGAAAGUACUCCAGCUCUGUUUAGCCAACACUAAACCAUAAGAGGGACCUCAGCCUUUAACACAUGGCCGGGUUUGACAACUCUUUGGUUCCAGACUGACUUCCCAACUGACCAGUUGCUUUUGCGUCUCUUAGAUUCAGCUUCACCUUGAAUCCCAACUUCCUCCCUCCCCCUCCCUACUUCCCUGGGCGUUCUCUGGCUUUUCAGUCCUGGUAUGAGCCAAGCAAAGCUCAAUUAGCUAAUGAGGUGCCCAAGACCAGCACCAAGACUGUCUCCAAGGGCCAACCAGGCCAUUAACUGCCAUCAUCAGUGUUAAUUUACAACCUUGCCUACCACAUGGAGUGCGGGGAUGCUGUGAAGUUCUGCCAACCUUUUGGCUGACAGGGAUACAGAGAAGUGCUGGCAAGGCAAAAACAGAGUAAAUUAAAAAUAUGCUUCAAUCUAUAGGCUCUAUUUAUCUAUGUCUUUCUUUAGUAAUAUAACAUUAAGGUAAAAGGUCAUAGCCCCACUGAAAUAUAAUUUAUAUUUACCUUUUAUUAAAUAAUUAUGGCAUGGCAUGAAGUUAAAUAUUACAGAAGCUAAUCAAGAGGGAAUUCAAGAGAGAAAACUCAGACAUGAGAAUUUCGUCUUUGCUAUACAUAGAAUGUCUUAAUCCUCCACUGGGAGUCAUUCGGGUUUGCUUAAGGAGUUUAAUAAUACACAUUUCAACUGCCACAGAAUCUAAAUCCCAUUUGGAUCAGCCUUGAAAAACUUUCAUCAAUACCUUGAGAUUUCAUAAUAUUUCUCUUGAGAGCCUGGAUCUCAUGUGCCAUUUCUCAUUUUGAUUGCGGGUAUAAUAUAUGAGAUUACUUACAUAUAUCUUGGACCCAAUAAAUAAAUAUAAACUAUAAGCAAUAUGUGAAUGGUUUCUUUUUUAAAGUAAAUAGUAUUUAACUAAAAAUAUCUACUGGGAACCACUCUUUAAAAAAAAAAAAGCUGGCUGGUGCUCAAUAUUAAUUUUCCCAAAGGAUUAGUGCGAUAUAAAAUUCUAUAUGGUUUUAAUUUUCUUUCCUUAAGAGGAGGCACAGGGAGCAGAUAAUGCUUACCCCAUCUUAUACUUCUACUUCUGUUUCACAAAAAUGAAGGGGACACUGGCUAACAUGGAAAGGGGGCUCUUUGUUAGAACCCUGUUCAGCCCUUAACAAUUACAGCCUUGACACUGCAGGCUGGAGGUCAUUUAUGCUCUUGACCAGCAGGAGCACUGAUUGCAAAGAUGGCAACAUCAAGGCCUGGUUGCUUUUUUUAAAAAAAAUGUGAGAGAAGAUGAUGAUGAGUGAGGCAAGAUCUGAGUUCUCAAUUGGCUGCCACUCUGGGGAUGUUGGCGGAUCACACUGCUGGCCUCGGUUGCAGCUUUACUCACCAGUGAGUCUUCCCUUGGAUCCUAGGAUUACCAUGGAAUCUGUAAAUGGUCAUCAGGAGGCCAAUAAAAGUAGAAAUUCUAAGCCUAGCCAUGUGUUUGUGCAUCUGUGCAUUAUCUGCAGAAAGGGAGCUUCACUUCAUCAGAUGUGCACACAGCCCAUGGUCUCCUAAGGGUGACAGCCCACAGAACUAGAGGAUCACUACAGUCCUAACUCUAAAUUCCAACUUUCUUCAAGAAUAAGGAAAACCACUGAAAGGUUUUCUUUGCAUUGUAAGAAAGCAAACAACAACAACAACAACAACAACAACAACAACAAACCCUUAAAUCUAUAUAAUGUGACUGCCAUAUAAACACAAGACCAGAAGACAGACACUGACUGGCAAUGGAAGAGAAAACAUGCUUUAACAAUACCUGCCACGUGGCUUUGGCCAAGGAGAAUUACUCUCUGUUGACAGCGUAGGAAGGCAUGAAACACAAUCUGGCUUUGGGAGGAAUUUAGAUAACACAGACGAGCUCCUGCCCUCGUGCCACUUUAGGACGUCUCUGUCCUCUUUCCUUACAUAGUACUUUCUUCCCACAUGUUCAUUCCCACAAAGUCUGUCUUCCAUGUGCUAGGAUUUGGGUUCCCUUCUCUCUCCCUCGUCCUUCCCCUUCCAAUUUCCUUGUCUAUUUGUCUCCCUUCUGCCCUAUUCCUCAUGUGUCCAACAUGCAAAGGCUACGUUAAAUUCACACUUAAAUGCUAAGUUUUUCAUUGCAUAUGAUGGUGUGAUGGGAUAAAGCUGGUCCUAGCUUGGGAGCUGCCUUAGUUCCCAACACUAACAAAUGACACAACCUUCAUCAGGUCACUUGGCCAGGUGAGGCUUUGGUUUAUUUCUCUGUGAAGACAAAGGAUUGGGGUAAAUGGCUUCUAAGACCCCUUUCAAGCUCUUACAUUUUAUGAUUCUAAGGCUAUCACUGAUUUGGAGCAGUGGCUUUCUUCUCUGAGGAGUAGAGGGUGGAGCUGAAGUCAAGGCUGUUGAAUUAAGUUGUCUUUAACCUUGGCUACAUUGAAAUCUCUCCCCACAUCCAUUUGUUUUAAUGUAGCAAAAGUUCAGUGUCACCAAUUUAAAAACAAAAAGGAACAAAGAUAAUAUAGGAACACAUUAUUAAGAGGCGGUACCUGCCUUUGUGGACACAGGAACAAGAAUACGAGGAGAGAACCAACAGUGCACAAGUGAAAGAUUAGACUGAAGCCUCUGAUAUUUAAUUUUAAAUGAAAUAUUAAUUUAAUAUUUAAUUACACUUUGGUUUCCAGAAAAACUG
rnacentral:lncRNA from 1 species